UACGUAGGGUGCGAGCGUUAAUCGGAAUUACUGGGCGUAAAGCGUGCGCAGGCGGUUGGUUAAGUCUGAUGUGAAAGCCCCGGGCUCAACCUGGGAAUGGCAUUGGAAACUGGCUGGCUAGAGUGUGGCAGAGGGGGGUGGAAUUCCGCGUGUAGCAGUGAAAUGCGUAGAGAUGCGGAGGAACACCGAUGGCGAAGGCAGCCCCCUGGGCUGACACUGACGCUCAUGCACGAAAGCGUGGGGAGCAAACAGG
rnacentral:rRNA from 1 species